UGGGAUAACGUUCGGGAAACCGGAGCUAAUACCGGAUAAUAUUUCGAACCGCAUGGUUUCGAUAGUGAAAGAUGGUUUUGCUAUCACUUAUAGAUGGACCCGCGCCGUAUUAGCUAGUUGGUAAGGUAACGGCUUACCAAGGCGACGAUACGUAGCCGACCUGAGAGGGUGAUCGGCCACACUGGAACUGAGACACGGUCCAGACUCCUACGGGAGGCAGCAGUAGGGAAUCUUCCGCAAUGGGCGAAAGCCUGACGGAGCAACGCCGCGUGAGUGAUGAAGGUCUUCGGAUCGUAAAACUCUGUUAUUAGGGAAGAACAUACGUGUAAGUAACUGUGCACGUCUUGACGGUACCUAAUCAGAAAGCCACGGCUAACUACGUGCCAGCAGCCGCGGUAAUACGUAGGUGGCAAGCGUUAUCCGGAAUUAUUGGGCGUAAAGCGCGCGUAGGCGGUUUUUUAAGUCUGAUGUGAAAGCCCACGGCUCAACCGUGGAGGGUCAUUGGAAACUG
rnacentral:rRNA from 1 species